rnacentral:rRNA from 1 species
UUGGAGGGCAGUCUGGUGCCAGCAGCCGCGGUAAUUCCAGCUCCAAUAGCGUAUAUUAAAGUUGUUGCAGUUAAAAAGCUCGUAGUUGAAUUUCGGGAUCAGAUUGUCGGUCGUGCCUCGGUACGCACUGGUAUUAUUGGUUCCUACCUUCUGAAGAACCGCGAUGUCAUUAAUUUGGUGUCGUGGGGAAUCAGGACUGUUACUUUGAAAAAAUUAGAGUGUUUAAAGCAGGCUUACGCUUGAAUACAUUAGCAUGGAAUAAUGAAAUAGGACGUUUGAUUCUAUUUUGUUGGUUUCUAGGAUUGACGUAAUGAUUAAUAGGGAUAGUUGGGGGCAUUAGUAUUCAAUUGUCAGAGGUGAAAUUCUUGGAUUUAUUGAAGACUAACUACUGCGAAAGCAUUUGCCAAGGAUGUUUUCAUUAAUCAAGAACGAAAGUUAGGGGAUCGAAGACGAUCAGAUACCGUCGUAGUCUUAACCAUAAACUAUGCCGACUAGGGAUCGGAUGAUGUUAAUUUUUUAAUGACUCAUUCGGCGCCUUACGGGAAAC